GGAGGAAAACUUGUUGACAUAGGUGCAUGUGCAAUUCUAAGAAUAAAUAAGACUCUUCAGUUGCUGAAGAGCAGCUGCCCACAGGAGUUUUAUACCUUAGAAGGUGAAACCAACAAAAAUCAGUUUAAGAAUCUCUGAAAUCUCUAGGCUUAGGACAUGUGAACACUUUGAUACUUUGGCUUUAUUCAGACCCAGCAAAUUUCAAAGAGGAAACGGAGGAAAAAACAGGAGAGUUUGCAGUCAGCACCCUUUCACCUGAAAGAUGGAGACAUUAUCGGUGUAAAGAAUCUCCUACUUGAGGAUGGUAAGGACUUCAGUACUGUGAGAGAUGAUAUUGGGAAGGAGACACAGAGGCAGCUUGCAAUG